GAUCCUGGUCAGGAUGAACGCUAGCUACAGGCUUAACACAUGCAAGUCGAGGGGCAGCAUGGUCUUAGCUUGCUAAGGCUGAUGGCGACCGGCGCACGGGUGAGUAACACGUAUCCAACCUGCCGUCUACUCUUGGCCAGCCUUCUGAAAGGAAGAUUAAUCCAGGAUGGGAUCAUNAGUUCACAUGUCCGCAUGAUUAAAGGUAUUUUCCGGUAGACGAUGGGG
rnacentral:rRNA from 1 species